ACCGUCAGGGUCGUCAAAGUCUAGGUAGCAGCCAACACCUUCACACGGGGAGUCGCCUGGAAGUUCAGAGGUGAGCAUGAGGCUCUCU
rnacentral:lncRNA from 1 species